GACGAACGCUGGCGGCGUGCUUAACACAUGCAAGUCGAACGGAAAGGCCCUGCUUUUGUGGGGUGCUCGAGUGGCGAACGGGUGAGUAACACGUGAGUAACCUGCCCUUGACUUUGGGAUAACUUCAGGAAACUGGGGCUAAUACCGGAUAGGAGCUCCUGCUGCAUGGUGGGGGUUGGAAAGUUUCGGCGGUUGGGGAUGGACUCGCGGCUUAUCAGCUUGUUGGUGGGGUAGUGGCUUACCAAGGCUUUGACGGGUAGCCGGCCUGAGAGGGUGACCGGCCCCAUUGGGCCUGAGUUACGCCCCGGACUCCUCCGGGAGGCAGCGUUGGGAAUAUUGCACAAUGGGCGGAAGCCUGAUGCAGCAACGCCGCGUGCGGGAUGACGGCCUUCGGGUUGUAAACCGCUUUCGCCUGUGACGAAGCGUGAGUGACGGUAAUGGGUAAAGAAGCACCGGCUAACUACGUG
rnacentral:rRNA from 1 species